rnacentral:tRNA from 1 species
GGGUGACUAGCUCAGUUGGCUAGAGCAUCUCGUUUACACCGAGGAGGUCUGGGGUUCGAGUCCCUAGUCACCCACCA